GAUGAACGCUGGCGGCGUGCCUAACACAUGCAAGUCGAACGGAGAUUACGGACGGAAGUUUUCGGAUGGAAGCCUGUAAUUCUUAGUGGCGGACGGGUGAGUAACGCGUGGGCAACCUGCCCUAUACAGGGGGAUAGUAGCUGGAAACGGCUGGUAAGACCGCAUAAGUCGGUUAUAUCGCAUGAUUUGAUCGGGAAAUGAGCCAUCAGGUAUAGGAUGGGCCCGCGUCCGAUUAGCCAGUUGGCAGGGUAAAAGCCUACCAAAGCGACGAUCGGUAGCCGGACUGAGAGGUCGGACGGCCACAUUGGGACUGAGACACGGCCCAAACUCCUACGGGAGGCAGCAGUGGGGGAUAUUGCACAAUGGAGGAAACUCUGAUGCAGCGCCGCCGCGUGAGUGAAGCAGUAUUUCGGUAUGUAAAGCUCUAUCAGCAGGGAAGAUGAUGACGGUACCUGACUAAGAAGCCCCGGCUAACUACGUG
rnacentral:rRNA from 1 species